rnacentral:rRNA from 1 species
UACGUAGGGGGCAAGCGUUGUCCGGAAUCAUUGGGCGUAAAGCGCACGUAGGCGGUCUGUUAUGUCGGAUGUGAAAGCCCUUGGCUCAACUGAGGAAGUGCAUCCGAAACUGGCAGGCUAGAGUACUAAAGAGGAUCGCGGAAUUCCCGGUGUAGAGGUGAAAUUCGUAGAUAUCGGGAGGAACACCGGUGGCGAAGGCGGCGAUCUGGGUAGAUACUGACGCUGAGGUGCGAAAGCGUGGGGAGCAAACAGG